UGUGACUCCGCACUUAGAACCUGAGACCAGAGUGGGCCCACGAGGAUCCACGGUGCACAGGAUGCAUCUGCUAUGAAGCAAGCGGAGUCCCUGCAGAGUUGGGGAAAGCGUAGCACCCGCUGUACCCUCUGUCCGCAUACCCUGACCCCAGCCAGACUUCUGACCUGACGGCAAACUUCACCCCGACCUGGGCAGGAUCCAGCUGAGUCAGACUGACAUCUCUCCCCCCAGACAGAGAGGAGGAGCGGGCCCGGAUGGACUACAACUUGCAUCACACAACGAAGGCUGGCAGUUGCUGCCCUGCCCUACCAAAGGGCAGCCACCUUGUGCUUCCAAGUAGAGCACAGAGCCAUGGCACAGAGUCCCAGCCUGUGAGAACCUGGGCAGGGCCCACCAUGCCAGAGAAAGCAGAGCCCGGCUACAGAGGAGACUCUCAGACCAGACCUACUGCCUGGAAGAAUCAGAAGCCAGCUCAGACACCUGGAGUUUUAGAGCAACUGGGGCACCUGAAAAGGACACCCCCUGAUCUGUUGAGCUGCCUGUGCAAUGUGCCCCAGGUUUGUCAGCCUUUGUGAGCUGGGGUGGGCUUUGUUGAUGCAGCUGUCUUUGCGUAACUUCUGCUCCUGUAAGCAACCCCUCAUCGAUGCUUCUGAAAAGUUUUGUCUCAUAACACUAUCAGCUGUUAGAUAAGACACUUAAGUAUUCAGCGUCUUGGUAUCAUUGCAAAGGUGUAACAAAGAACCCUUGCUUCCUGGAUUCAAAGAAACAAUGUUUGUAGAUACACAGAAUGUUGGUGCCUUAGGAAUUAGUGGGCAUCCUACUUUCUUCUCAAGCUUUGAUGUUGACCCUGUGGGAAGGAGGGAGAGCAAGGCCCAACACUGCUUCUACUCCAAGCACAGCCCAUGCCUACACUUCCUUCCUCAGCAAAGUUUGAUUCUUUUGGCUGCAUCAGCCCCUUCCCCUCUGCUGAAGUGGGCCACAGAAGCCAUCUGGACCAUGAGGCAAGCCAACAUUGGGAAAUCUACUACACUUCCUUGAUGGGAACAGUCCCAGCAAAUGUGCCAAUGACUUCACUGAGUGAGCAAGCAGGGACUUCCUUGCGAUCUCAAACCCAGGACCACAGUGUUCCAGCAGACGGCAGAGCAUCUGUCCCUGACACCUGGUGGUUUUCAGGUUUCCCUCAGUGACUCAGACAAGGCCAAAGAGGCAAAGGCGCCCAACUCACGCUUUCUGAGUCAUGCUUCCAACUACAGAACUCUGGGCUCUAGCCAGAUCUAUAGCAUAAGAAUUUGUCAUUGAAGUAAUAGACAAUUUUCACAAAUUCCAGCUCAGAAAGUGCAGGCUUGCUCUCGGCUAUCCCAUCUCUACUUUGAAUAGGAGGAUCUGAUCUUGGCUAAUAACAAAUUACUACCUCCACUAAGAACUUACUGUUACGAAUAUGUGUGGUACUACGUGUGUAUACAUGACAAACCCACAUUUGAAAAAGAACAAACUUAGAAAGAUGAGUUAAGGAUAAGGCCGGCACAUGCCCCUAAUAUCAAAACUCUGAGGAUGUGGCAAAUGAACUGUGGGUUCUAGAACAGCCUAGGAUACACAUAUAAUUAAUUACAAGACCUCCAGGGCACAUAGAGAGACCCUGUCUCAA
rnacentral:lncRNA from 1 species